rnacentral:lncRNA from 1 species
GUUUCAACAUUUUUCACCCAAUUAAUUUUUCAAUUGGCAUGGAAAUGGAUUUUACAUUAUGACAAUUAGAGAAAGGAUGAAAAAGUAGGGGAAAAGGGAGCAACUGUGAUGCCUAGAUAUGAGAUUUAAAUCGAACGCGCUUUGAAUUUAUAUCGAUUGGGAAGAGUACCUCUGAGUACUACGAAUAUUCUCGCAUACUCUGAGCAUAUGGAUAACCUUCUACGUCCUAUUGGGGCAUCCUUUUUCAGCUGAAAAGUCACUAAAAAUGAAGGAUAAUUACUGG